rnacentral:rRNA from 1 species
UACGAAGGGUGCAAGCGUUAAUCGGAAUUACUGGGCGUAAAGCGCGCGUAGGUGGUUCAGCAAGUCGAAGGUGAAAUUCCCGGGCUCAACCUGGGAACUGCCUCCAAAACUACUGAGCUAGAGUACGGUAGAGGGUAGUGGAAUUUCCUGUGUAGCGGUGAAAUGCGUAGAUAUAGGAAGGAACACCAGUGGCGAAGGCGACUACCUGGACUGAUACUGACGCUGAGGCGCGAAAGCCAGGGGAGCGAACGGG